ensembl:lncRNA
GGAAGACCUCCAGAAGCUCCCCGCGCUGCGCGGCUGUGUUUGCGGCCUGUGCGAGUAGGAGUCUCGGAACCAAUCUCCCGGCGAGCGGUGCGCAGAAACCUCGAACCGGUGGAGCCCACUCGUAACCUGGGGCCCACAAGGCCGCGAAGACAGUACCGUUUUCUCAGCGGCGGGUAUUAAUACCAACUGCCCUUCUAAGAAAGUGCUGAGAUAGAGUAUUAUAAUGAUAAUACAAGAGCUUCUGUAAGUAGGACAGUAGCCCUCUUUGUUUUAAAAGGAUAUAUACUCCUGUCCCCUUCCAUAUAGAAUAUUUGUUUUUUUGGGGGGGGCAAAAGAAUGUUAAAAUAAAAUUAUUAAAAUAUUCAAUACUUUUACAAUCUUAAAUUAGUUGCAUUUUUCUUUUUAAUUUAUGUUGAUACCUACUUAAUAUUUUAAGGCAUUUCCAGUACCUUAUUUGCUAAUGUAUGACAUCAUCCUAGGAAUUUACUUGUAAAGCUUUCUAAGUAUUUUAAGUAUAAUGUGUUUUUUUCAAUUUAAAUUUUAUAGAAUAUUAUAUAUUCUAACUCAAUGAAAAGAAUACUCUUAAGAAAGAAUAGCUGUGAGGGUGAAGGACAUGAUUUUUAAAGAAAUGUCUCAUAAACAUAAGCUCAUUGUUAAUUAGGGAAGUGCAGGUUGAAACAAGAGAAUAUCUUUUACGUAUCAGAUUGUUAAAAUUUAAACACUGAUUCACUCCAGUGAUGAGGAAAGGGAAUACCCAUGUGCUGGUGGUGGGAAUAUUAAUUUGUACACUAGAUUUAAGAGGAUGGUAUGAAGGUAAAAUGUAGAUACAUACAGUAUUGUAUGUCCAAUAUGUCCAAGAAUGUUUAACAUUAUUUGUAAGAGGUAAAACUGUGAAGUUAACCAUCAGUGUUGGUUAAUUAUUUUAUAUCUAUAAAGUGGUAGUUUACUGCAUUAUGAAAAAUAGAACAUUUUGAACUGACGAGAUGUUAAUUAGGGAGAAAUGCACGUAACAAUAUAGUAUGAUUAUAUUGUUUGCAGAAAAACACAAAUGAUUAUAUAUUAGCUUGUGUAUAGAAAGAUACUUAGAAGAAUACAACGAUUUAUACCAAACUCUUGGGAUUAGGGACAAGAAAGUGGAAGACAUGCACUUUUUAUCCUCUCUCUUCUGAAGGGUGAGUAAAACGAUACAUAAAACACAGAAAAGAAAAUAGAGAAAAACAUAUUUUAAAAGCUUCUAACAAUUCUAGACUUCCUCAGUUACAGAGUGUAGGUGGAGAGUUUUUCCAAAAGAAGUAUCUCCUAUUAAUCAAAUCACUACUUUUAGCAUCAUCACUGAUAUGAAAUCAACCCCUUAUUUGGGCUGCUUUUUAAAGUUGGGGCGUGGAAUCCUACUAGGACCUUCUAACAUUGUUUUUCUACUUCUCCCAAUAAUUUUGGAAACUUCUUAAAUACUUCUAUUCAUUUAGCUAAAAGACAAAAUUUAUUUUAAGUAGUAAUAUCACAAACCAAAUGAAACUGUUCAGUGUGUUCUUAUAUUUUUAAAAAUCAUAUGCCAGCAUCUCAUUCUUGAAUUUUAUUCUCUCAUUCAUUGAAUAUCAUUCAAGAAUGGUCAAAAGUUUGCUUUUAAAUUUAAGAAAAAUUAUCACUUUUUUCUUAUUGUCACACAUUAUGUAUGUUCUCUUUAUAUUUGAAUGGGUACUAUGUGAUCUGAUAGCAGGAGGUUCUCUGCAAUUCUCAUGGUGUCAGGUUUGUAGAAUGUCACUGAGACAUUCAUUUGUUCUUGAAGAAUUGGCCAGCACUGAAUCAAGGAAUACAAAUACUGUGUUACUUUGUAAAUUUAGUUUUCAGGGUGCUUAUGUGUAUAAAAAUGAAUGCAUCAGAACAUUUAAAAAACCUGUUAGAUAUCUUCCUGGAUUCUGAGUUUGGUUUAAAAAUAUUCGUUGAGGGAGUUCCCCUCGUAGAGUAGAGGAAAUGAAUCUGACUGGUAUCUAUGAGAAUGUAUGUGGGUUUGAUCCCUGGCCUUACUUAGUGGGACCCGGCCUUGCUGUGAGCUGUGGUGUAGGUCGCAGACAUGGCUCCGAUCCCUAGUGGCUGUGGCUGUAGUGUAGGCCAGCAGCUGUAGCUUCAAUUCGACCCCUGGCCUGGGAACUUUCGUAUCCCCUGGGUAUGGCCCAAAAAAAAAAAAAAAAAAAAAAAAA